GAUUCGUCACACUAUCAUUAACUGAAUCCAUAGGUUAAUGAGGCGAACCGGGGGAACUGAAACAUCUAAGUACCCCGAGGAAAAGAAAUCAACCGAGAUUCCCCCAGUAGCGGCGAGCGAACGGGGAGGAGCCCAGAGCCUGAAUCAGCAUGUGUGUUAGUGGAAGCGUCUGGAAAGGCGCGCGAUACAGGGUGACAGCCCCGUACACAAAAGCGCAUGUGCUGUGAGCUCGAUGAGUAGGGCGGGACACGUGGUAUCCUGUCUGAAUAUGGGGGGACCAUCCUCCAAGGCUAAAUACUCCUGACUGACCGAUAGUGAACCAGUACCGUGAGGGAAAGGCGAAAAGAACCCCGGCGAGGGGAGUGAAAAAGAACCUGAAACCGUGUACGUACAAGCAGUGGGAGCACCCUUCGGGGUGUGACUGCGUACCUUUUGUAUAAUGGGUCAGCGACUUAUAUUCUGUAGCAAGGUUAACCGUAUAGGGGAGCCGGAGGGAAACCGAGUCUUAAUUGGGCGUUAAGUUGCAGGGUAUAGACCCGAAACCCGGUGAUCUAGCCAUGGGCAGGUUGAAGGUUGGGUAACACUAACUGGAGGACCGAACCGACUAAUGUUGAAAAAUUAGCGGAUGACCUGUGGCUGGGGGUGAAAGGCCAAUCAAACCGGGAGAUAGCUGGUUCUCCCCGAAAGCUAUUUAGGUAGCGCCUCGUGAAUUCAUCUCCGGGGGUAGAGCACUGUUUCGGCUAGGGGGCCAUCCCGGCUUACCAACCCGAUGCAAACUGCGAAUACCGGAGAAUGUUAUCACGGGAGACACACGGCGGGUGCUAACGUCCGUCGUGAAGAGGGAAACAACCCAGACCGCCAGCUAAGGUCCCAAAGUCAUGGUUAAGUGGGAAACGAUGUGGGAAGGCCCAGACAGCCAGGAUGUUGGCUUAGAAGCAGCCAUCAUUUAAAGAAAGCGUAAUAGCUCACUGGUCGAGUCGGCCUGCGCGGAAGAUGUAACGGGGCUAAACCAUGCACCGAAGCUGCGGCAGCGAACGUAUCACCCAAGACAACUUUACGGAGUUGACGAUUGACGGAGCGAAGCGACGUCAAAGCGUUCAUUAAAGUCGAGUUGGCUUAGGGAUACGUUCGUUGGGUAGGGGAGCGUUCUGUAAGCCUGUGAAGGUGUGUCGUGAGGCAUGCUGGAGGUAUCAGAAGUGCGAAUGCUGACAUAAGUAACGAUAAAGCGGGUGAAAAGCCCGCUCGCCGGAAGACCAAGGGUUCCUGUCCAACGUUAAUCGGGGCAGGGUGAGUCGACCCCUAAGGCGAGGCCGAAAGGCGUAGUCGAUGGGAAACGGGUUAAUAUUCCCGUACUUGGUGUUACUGCGAAGGGGGGACGGAGAAGGCUAUGUUGGCCGGGCGACGGUUGUCCCGGUUUAAGCGUGUAGGUGUGUGUUCCAGGUAAAUCCGGUUCACUUUAACACUGAGGCGUGACGACGAGGCACUACGGUGCUGAAGCAACAAAUGCCCUGCUUCCAGGAAAAGCCUCUAAGCAUCAGGUAACACGAAAUCGUACCCCAAACCGACACAGGUGGUCAGGUAGAGAAUACCAAGGCGCUUGAGAGAACUCGGGUGAAGGAACUAGGCAAAAUGGUGCCGUAACUUCGGGAGAAGGCACGCUGACACGUAGGUGAAGUGAUUUACUCAUGGAGCUGAAGUCAGUCGAAGAUACCAGCUGGCUGCAACUGUUUAUUAAAAACACAGCACUGUGCAAACACGAAAGUGGACGUAUACGGUGUGACGCCUGCCCGGUGCCGGAAGGUUAAUUGAUGGGGUCAGCGCAAGCGAAGCUCCUGAUCGAAGCCCCGGUAAACGGCGGCCGUAACUAUAACGGUCCUAAGGUAGCGAAAUUCCUUGUCGGGUAAGUUCCGACCUGCACGAAUGGCGUAAUGAUGGCCAGGCUGUCUCCACCCGAGACUCAGUGAAAUUGAACUCGCUGUGAAGAUGCAGUGUACCCGCGGCAAGACGGAAAGACCCCGUGAACCUUUACUAUAGCUUGACACUGAACAUUGAGCCUUGAUGUGUAGGAUAGGUGGGAGGCUUUGAAGUGUGGACGCCAGUCUGCAUGGAGCCGACCUUGAAAUACCACCCUUUAAUGUUUGAUGUUCUAACGUGGACCCGUAAUCCGGGUUGCGGACAGUGUCUGGUGGGUAGUUUGACUGGGGCGGUCUCCUCCUAAAGAGUAACGGAGGAGCACGAAGGUUGGCUAAUCCUGGUCGGACAUCAGGAGGUUAGUGCAAUGGCAUAAGCCAGCUUGACUGCGAGCGUGACGGCGCGAGCAGGUGCGAAAGCAGGUCAUAGUGAUCCGGUGGUUCUGAAUGGAAGGGCCAUCGCUCAACGGAUAAAAGGUACUCCGGGGAUAACAGGCUGAUACCGCCCAAGAGUUCAUAUCGACGGCGGUGUUUGGCACCUCGAUGUCGGCUCAUCACAUCCUGGGGCUGAAGUAGGUCCCAAGGGUAUGGCUGUUCGCCAUUUAAAGUGGUACGCGAGCUGGGUUUAGAACGUCGUGAGACAGUUCGGUCCCUAUCUGCCGUGGGCGCUGGAGAACUGAGGGGGGCUGCUCCUAGUACGAGAGGACCGGAGUGGACGCAUCACUGGUGUUCGGGUUGUCAUGCCAAUGGCACUGCCCGGUAGCUAAAUGCGGAAGAGAUAAGUGCUGAAAGCAUCUAAGCACGAAACUUGCCCCGAGAUGAGUUCUCCCUGAGACUUAGAGUCUCCUGAAGGAACGUUGAAGACGACGACGUUGAUAGGCCGGGUGUGUAAGCGCAGCGAUGCGUUGAGCUAACCGGUACUAAUGAACCGUGAGGCUUAACCUUACAAC
rnacentral:rRNA from 1 species